UUUUUCUUUCACCGGAGCUUGCUCCACCGAAAGAAAAAGAGUGGCGAACGGGUGAGUAACACGUGGGUAACCUGCCCAUCAGAAGGGGAUAACACUUGGAAACAGGUGCUAAUACCGUAUAACACUAUUUUCCGCAUGGAAGAAAGUUGAAAGGCGCUUUUGCGUCACUGAUGGAUGGACCCGCGGUGCAUUAGCUAGUUGGUGAGGUAACGGCUCACCAAGGCAACGAUGCAUAGCCGACCUGAGAGGGUGAUCGGCCACACUGGGACUGAGACACGGCCCAGACUCCUACGGGAGGCAGCAGUAGGGAAUCUUCGGCAAUGGACGAAAGUCUGACCGAGCAACGCCGCGUGAGUGAAGAAGGUUUUCGGAUCGUAAAACUCUGUUGUUAGAGAAGAACAAGGAUGAGAGUAAAAUGUUCAUCCCUUGACGGUAUCUAACCAGAAAGCCACGGCUAACUACGUGCCAGCAGCCGCGGUAAUACGUAGGUGGCAAGCGUUGUCCGGAUUUAUUGGGCGUAAAGCGAGCGCAGGCGGUUUCUUAAGUCUGAUGUGAAAGCCCCCGGCUCAACCGGGGAGGGUCAUUGGAAACUGGGAGACUUGAGUGCAGAAGAGGAGAGUGGAAUUCCAUGUGUAGCGGUGAAAUGCGUAGAUAUAUGGAGGAACACCAGUGGCGAAGGCGGCUCUCUGGUCUGUAACUGACGCUGAGGCUCGAAAGCGUGGGGAGCGAACAGGAUUAGAUACCCUGGUAGUCCACGCCGUAAACGAUGAGUGCUAAGUGUUGGAGGGUUUCCGCCCUUCAGUGCUGCAGCAAACGCAUUAAGCACUCCGCCUGGGGAGUACGACCGCAAGGUUGAAACUCAAAGGAAUUGACGGGGGCCCGCACAAGCGGUGGAGCAUGUGGUUUAAUUCGAAGCAACGCGAAGAACCUUACCAGGUCUUGACAUCCUUUGACCACUCUAGAGAUAGAGCUUCCCCUU
rnacentral:rRNA from 1 species